ensembl:lncRNA
CUCCAGGAGAUAGUGAAGCGACUGAACAGUAACACAAGGGAAAUGAGAAACUUACAUUGGCCAAUCAGUGCUUACUUAAGAUUAUAAGUUUUCUACACACGUUGGUCCAUCCUUGGGUAACUGUGUGGGAAGGAGCUUGAGAAGAAUGGGAAAGAAACUGUAGGUAUUUGAUGACACAUGGAGUCCCUGGACAGUCUGCAUAGCUGAGUCCUCUUCCAGCCCUUCGAAACAGGUGCUGCUCAAAUGCCACUUUCCUUGGAGUCUUAGGUGAAAUGUCAAGAUUCUGUUUGUAGUCCAGGAUGGCAUUUCCAGGCACAAGAAGCACCUGUUGGUAAAAUUUCUCUCGUAAUGAAGGCCAUCUGGAUAGGAGACAAAAGUAGGACGUGAGGACUCUGAGUGGCACAAAGAAGUUAUUUCCUGGGAGGCCACGGUGGUUUUACAUGACAUGAACCUUGAAGUGGCAUCGAAGUAAAACCCUCCGAGAAUUAAUCUUCCAGGAAGUCAUGAACACUUCUGUUGGUAUAUUUUUUUUUCUCCCAAGGUCCCAUGCCUUUAAAAGAAGAUAUUCAUUACAUUUGUUUAACACACAUUUAGUAAAGCAUCUACUCUGUGAUCAAGUGUAUCUCUCCAGGCCCUGAGGAGUUCAGAUAAAAAUCCCUCAUUGAAACUGGACAUUCGAGUAAAGCUCUAAAGAAGGUAAGGAGUAAGCCACAGGACAUCCAGGAGAAGAAUGUUCCUGACUGGGAGGAGAGGAGAUGCAAAGGCCUUGAUUAAGGAGCAGGACUGGGGUCCCUGUUCUAGCAUCUAGCUGGCCACUGUAAGGAUUUUUGACAUUUGCUCUGAGUGAGACGGGAAUUCAUCAGAAAGUUUUAAUAAAAG